rnacentral:sRNA from 1 species
GUUUUGGCGUCCGUUUGCUGCGGGAGAAACAUGGCGGAUCGGCUCACGCAGCUUCAAGACGCUGUGAAUUCGAGUACGCCCAGCUUUUUGCAGCACUGAUUGCACGAACAGCAAAAGACAUUGAUGUUUUGAUAGAUUCCUUACCCAGUGAAGAAUCUACAGCUGCUUUACAGGCUGCUAGCUUGUAUAAGCUAGAAGAAGAAAACCAUGAAGCUGCUACAUGUCUGGAGGAUGUUGUUUAUCGAGGAGACAUGCUUCUGGAAAAGAUACAAAGUGCACUUGCUGAUAUUGCACAGUCACAGCUGAAGACAAGAAGUGGUACCCAUAGCCAGUCUCUUCCAGACUCAUAGCACCAGUGGAUACCAUGUGGCUGAGAAAAGAACUAUUUGAGUGCCAUUAAGAAUUCUGCAUCAGACUUAGAUACAAGCCUUACCAACAAUUACAGAAACAUUAAACACUAUGACACAUUACCUUUUUAGCUAUUUUUAAUAGUCUUCUAUUUUCACUCUUGAUAAAUAAGCUUAUAAAAUCAUGAUUGAACCAGCUUUAAACUAUCAUACCAUCAUUUUUUAACUCAGUGAAAUUAUUAAGGCAUAUAAUGCAUUAAUGAACAUAAUAUAAGGAAACAUAUGUAAAAUUCUGUUAUGACAUAAUUUAUGUCUCCAUUUUGUUGUAUUGGCCAGUACUUUUACAAAUCAAAACAUCUCUCAAGCCAGAGGAGAAGACAGUAAGAACAGACAUAAGGGACAUUUUAGUUUAGGCUAGUGUCCUGCCUCUUAGAGGUGGCAUUGUGUAAAUCUGAGCUUUGAGCAAAAAGUUUUGGAAAUUGUGUUGCUUUUAAGAAAUAGUGUGGCUGGAUAAGAAAGUCACAUUUAUGCAAAUGUUUCUUCUGCUACAACCUCAUACCUGUUCUAGUUCAUCUCCACGUUUAUUUUACCAAGAAAUCCUCUGUCAAGAGAAUUUCCUUGCUGUUGUGAAAGAAUUUUUCUACAUCCUGAACUAUUUUUCCUAUUUCUUUUCACCUUGCUUUUUUUCAUCCUUAAUUUGCUUGUCAUCACAAUGAAGUAUGUUUUUUUUGAAUCAUCAAUUCUUUCUCAUUUUCCAUUUAUCUGAAGGUUCUUUUGCCCUUAUUAACCUCUCAACUUUUAUUGCUGUAUUCUAGUCAGACCAGAACAUACUUCCACUACAUCAGUUACUGGGCAUCAUUUCACGUCAGUUUAUUAUUGCCAAAUAAUAAUUUGUGUCAGCAUUUUCAACUAUGGUUACUCAUCCAACCCUUGGAUCUCUUUGAGUCUACUGAUUAUCUCCACUGGAAAGGUGGAAUUGAAAUGUGGUCCACAUUUUAACUGGCCAUCUCCUGGGGCUGUAUUUUU